rnacentral:rRNA from 1 species
GAAUAGAAAAAAUUAUUAAAAUUUUUAUUGUUUUUUUAAUUAUAAAAAGAAAUUUUUAUUUAAGUAUUAGUUAAGAAAAAAUUGUUUUUAAUUAUAGUUUAUUAGUAUUGUAAAAGAAAUUAUUAUAUAGUUUAAAGAAAAAUUUUAUUUUUGUACCUUGUGUAUCAGGGUUGAUUAAUUAAUAAUUAAAUAUUUAAUAAUCUCGAAUUUAAAAGAGCUAAUUAUUUAUUAAUUUUAUUGUGAAAUAAAUAUUUAUAAUAAAUAAUUAGAAAUGAAACGUUAUUCGUUUUUAAAUAUAUCUAGUUUUUAAAGAAAUAAAUUUAAUUUAUAUAUUAAUAUUUAAAUUUUUAAAUUUUUAAUUUUUUAUUUAUUAAUAAUAAAUUUUUUUAGGGAUAAGCUUAAGAAAAAAUUUUUAUAACUAAUAUUUAAUGAAAUAAUUUAUAGGAUUAUAAUUUUCUAACAAUAAAAAAAUGUUAUAAUUAAUUAUUUUUAAUAUAUUAUUUUUAUUUAGUUUAAAUUUUUUAUUUAAAUUUUAUUAUUAAUUUUAUUUAAUAAGAAAUUAUGGUUAAAUUAGUAAAGUUUAAUGUAUAAUUAAUUUAAUUAUAAAGGUUAAAUUAAGGAAUUCGGCAAAAUUAUUUUUCACCUGUUUAAUAAAAACAUGUCCUUAUGAUUAUAAUUUAAGGUCUGAUCUGCCCACUGAAGUUUUGAAUGGCCGCGGUAUUUUGACCGUGCAAAGGUAGCAUAAUAAUUAGUUUCUUAAUUAGAAGCUGGAAUGAAUGAUUGGAUGAGAAAAUAACUGUCUCAAUUUAAUUUAGGUUUGAAUUUUAUUUUUAAGUUAAAAAGCUUAAAUAAUAUUAAAAGACGAGAAGACCCUAUAGAGUUUAAUAAUUUUAGUUUUUAAAAUAUUUUAGUUUAGAAAUUUUAAUGUAUUAAUA